AUACGAGGGGUGCAAGCGUUGUUCGGAAUUACUGGGCGUAAAGGGAGCGUAGGCGGAGAUUCAAGCGGAUUGUACAAUCCCGGGGCCCAACCCCGGCUCUGCAGUCCGAACUGGAUCUCUUGGAUAGUUCAGGGGCAGGCGGAAUUCCUGGUGUAGCGGUGGAAUGCGUAGAGAUCAGGAAGAACACCGAUGGCGAAGGCAGCCUGCUGGGGACUUAUCGACGCUGAGGCUCGAAAGUGCGGGUAGCAAACAGGAUUAGAUACCCUGGUAGUCCGCACCGUAAACGAUGCAUACUGGGUGUCCGGGGGUUCCCCCGGGUACCGUAACCAACGCGUUAAGUAUGCCGCCUGGGGAGUACGUACGCAAGUAUGAAACUCAAAUGAAUUGACGGGG
rnacentral:rRNA from 1 species